UACAGAGGAGCCAAGCGUUGUCCGGAUUGACUGGGCGUAAAGAGCGUGUAGGCGGCUUUACAGGUCCGUUGUGAAAACUCGAGGCUCAACCUCGAGACGCCGGUGGAAACCGUAAAGCUAGAGUCCGGAAGAGGAGAGUGGAAUUCCUGGUGUAGCGGUGAAAUGCGCAGAUAUCAGGAAGAACACCAACGGCGAAGGCAGCUCGCUGGGACGGAACUGACGCUAAGGCGCGAAAGCGUGGGGAGCGAACAGG
rnacentral:rRNA from 1 species